UUGCAUCAUGAUUUACAUUUGAGUGAGUGGCGAACUGGUGAGUAACACGUGGGAAACCUGCCCAGAAGCGGGGGAUAACACCUGGAAACAGAUGCUAAUACCGCAUAACAACUUGGACCGCAUGGUCCGAGCUUGAAAGAUGGCUUCGGCUAUCACUUUUGGAUGGUCCCGCGGCGUAUUAGCUAGAUGGUGGGGUAACGGCUCACCAUGGCAAUGAUACGUAGCCGACCUGAGAGGGUAAUCGGCCACAUUGGGACUGAGACACGGCCCAAACUCCUACGGGAGGCAGCAGUAGGGAAUCUUCCACAAUGGACGAAAGUCUGAUGGAGCAACGCCGCGUGAGUGAAGAAGGGUUUCGGCUCGUAAAACUCUGUUGUUAAAGAAGAACAUAUCUGAGAGUAACUGUUCAGGUAUUGACGGUAUUUAACCAGAAAGCCACGGCUAACUACGUGCCAGCAGCCGCGGUAAUACGUAGGUGGCAAGCGUUGUCCGGAUUUAUUGGGCGUAAAGCGAGCGCAGGCGGUUUUUUAAGUCUGAUGUGAAAGCCUUCGGCUCAACCGAAGAAGUGCAUCGGAAACUGGGAAACUUGAGUGCAGAAGAGGACAGUGGAACUCCAUGUGUAGCGGUGAAAUGCGUAGAUAUAUGGAAGAACACCAGUGGCGAAGGCGGCUGUCUGGUCUGUAACUGACGCUGAGGCUCGAAAGUAUGGGUAGCAAACAGGAUUAGAUACCCUGGUAGUCCAUACCGUAAACGAUGAAUGCUAAGUGUUGGAGGGUUUCCGCCCUUCAGUGCUGCAGCUAACGCAUUAAGCAUUCCGCCUGGGGAGUACGGCCGCAAGGCUGAAACUCAAAGGAAUUGACGGGGGCCCGCACAAGCGGUGGAGCAUGUGGUUUAAUUCGAAGCUACGCGAAGAACCUUACCAGGUCUUGACAUACUAUGCAAAUCUAAGAGAUUAGACGUUCCCUUCGGGGACAUGGAUACAGGUGGUGCAUGGUUGUCGUCAGCUCGUGUCGUGAGAUGUUGGGUUAAGUCCCGCAACGAGCGCAACCCUUAUUAUCAGUUGCCAGCAUUAAGUUGGGCACUCUGGUGAGACUGCCGGUGACAAACCGGAGGAAGGUGGGGAUGACGUCAAAUCAUCAUGCCCCUUAUGACCUGGGCUACACACGUGCUACAAUGGAUGGUACAACGAGUUGCGAACUCGCGAGAGUAAGCUAAUCUCUUAAAGCCAUUCUCAGUUCGGAUUGUAGGCUGCAACUCGCCUACAUGAAGUCGGAAUCGCUAGUAAUCGCGGAUCAGCAUGCCGCGGUGAAUACGUUCCCGGGCCUUGUACACACCGCCCGUCACACCAUGAGAGUUUGUAACACCCAAAGUCGGU
rnacentral:rRNA from 2 species